UGGGGAAUAUUGGGCAAUGGGCGAAAGCCUGACCCAGCGACGCCGUGUGGGCGAUGAAGGCCUUCGGGUUGUAAAGCCCUGUUGGGUGGAAAGAAGGGCUCCUGGACGAAUACUCCGGGAGUCUUGACGGUACCACCAGAGAAAGCACCGGCUAACUCCGUGCCAGCAGCCGCGGUAAUACGGAGGGUGCAAGCGUUGUUCGGAAUUACUGGGCGUAAAGGGCGCGUAGGUGGUUGCGUAAGUCGGAUGUGAAAUCCCCAGGCUUAACCUGGGAACUGCAUCCGAUACUGCAUGACUCGAGUGCAGCAGAGGGAAACGGAAUUCCUGGUGUAGAGGUGAAAUUCGUAGAUAUCAGGAGGAACACCGGUGGCGAAGGCGGUUUCCUGGGCUGACACUGACACUGAGGCGCGAAAGCGUGGGUAGCAAACA
rnacentral:rRNA from 1 species